CUUUCUGAAAAAAAAUAAAAAUAUUCUACUUGGUUCUUAACUGUACGAGUCCAAACUUUUUAGAAUUCCAUUGCUUGACAGGCUCUAUUGCUAUCAAAACAAAGAAAUGUACUAUAUGGAUUGCAACUUUGGUCAAUAAUAUAGCAUCUCUAACCCAUUUAAGAGCAGGGGGAGAUAUCAGAAAUCAUAUCAAACGUUUAAAAUAUAAAGAAUGCAGGUGCAUACUAGCAAAAUAUUACAAUUAAAUGAAAGAAUGGCUCAGCAUAACUAGACUACAAAAGUACCACCGUGUCUUGAUUUGGAUUUUCAUUUCCCUGAUCCUAACUAUAAUUGACAAUUAUUAAAUAUAGUUAUGGCUUUGAAGACCAGGGCGACGAGGAAAAAAAGGUUCUUAGAAAGUGAUUGUAGUGCCACUAAUUUGUAUUGUGCUGAAAGUCAUGAUAAAAGCUUAUCAAGUCAGGGGACUGUGACAUGAGCAAUGAUCAGACUUUGGUUGCUGCUAUAGCUGAAAGUUCUUUUUCUUAUAGACACAUCAUCAAAACAUUGCUAGAACAGUGAUGCAGCCAACAACCAAAAAGAGACGAAUGGUGAAGAACCAGAAGAUUUGUACAGUUUUGAAUAUGAAAAUGUAAACGGAUUGGUAGUGCUUUGUAAACUCAAAACAAUUUUAUAGGCAGGAGUAAUCAACAAAAUGCCAAUAUCACUGCAUUAUAUAUGACUAAUAUUCAUUGCUUUGUAAACUCAAACAAUUUAAUAGGCAGGAAACUCUUAUUUCAUUACAAUCAAGUCCUUUUAAUUCAUAUCAGUCAUUAUUGUAAACUGUCCU
rnacentral:lncRNA from 1 species